rnacentral:rRNA from 1 species
CUGAAGUUCACCUAUGUGCUGGCUGGCUGGGAAGGGUCAACACAUGACGCUAACAUACUCAAUGACAACAUCAGUCGCCCUGAUGGCAUCAACAUAACUGACGGCAAGUUCUACCUAGGAGAUGCUGGCUAUGCAUGUCGCAUAGGUGUUCUUCCAUUCUUCGGGAAAACCAUGUACCAUCUGAACGAGUUCUCUGGUAGGAACUACCCUAGGACUCAACAUGAGCUGUUCAAUCUUAGACACUCCAGCCUUAGAGUAACGGCCGAGAGGGCAUUUGGAGGUCGCAAGAACAGGUUCAAGAUCCUGAAUCAGAAGCCAUUUGCACCCAUACCCUACCCAGGUUAA